rnacentral:tRNA from 2 species
CCGACCUUAGCUCAGUUGGUAGAGCGGAGGACUGUAGUGGGUUCACUCAGAGAAAUCCUUAGGUCGCUGGUUCGAAUCCGGCAGGUCGGA